ACUGACGGCAUGUCAAGCGCAUCACUGGACACUGCAAACCAAACAAAGUUGUUGCACUUAUCCUAUCCAAACGUACGAAUUAAAAGCAUUGGGUCCGGAGAAUUUGUGUUUCACACGGAGCUUCUGGAAAUUAGCACCUACCCUCUGAAUGUGUUCCCCCUGCAUGGUAACGACUCGGUUCGGAGUGUCCAGAAAUCAACCAUGUAUGGAUGCGAACGAUGCACAACAGCCUAUUCGGACGUUGUAUUGGCCUUUGACGUUUCCUCCUUCAAUUAUGGUCAACUGGACACAAUGCUCAAAACGGCAGAGGUUUUGAUCGCAAAUCUCCACACGGACGUUAACCAGACCAGGGUCGGUCUGUGCAAAUACGAAAGUAUUGCCGAGGAAGUUUUUGAGUUCGACGAGUACACGACAAGUAAUGAGAUGAUAUCCGUUAUGAACAAACAUAUCAUGAAAAGCGAAACAUGCAUGAAAGAUAAACAAUGUUCGAGUAGAGAUAUAAGUUCUUUGUUGCAGGAUGUUUUGCGUGAAUUUCAGAAGAAUUCCGAGAAGUCUAGGCGUAAAGCUGUUGUGAUAUUUUCCCAAUUUAUAUUUGACAAGGACAUUGCUGAACGUGUUGUUCUGGAAAUUCAGAAUCUGAAAGACAAUGGUGUGAGUGUCAUUGUAGUUGGAGAAGGACUCGAGGCCAAUAUUGAUAAAAUGUUAAAGCUAUCAACUACUUCUUUCUUUACAUUUAUUAUUGGGGAAGAUUUUAACACCCCCAUUGAUGCCAUUUUAGCACUGAUGUCGACACUGGAGUACGACAUUUGUUUUGUUCAAUAAGAAGAGAUAAUGUUACUGCUACAUAUUUAUGUUGUAAAAAAAUAUCAACACAUUUGCGUUGAGGCUUAACCAUAAACUUAGUUUUGUUUACAAUUAAUACGUGAUAAUGUACAGGUGGAAUGUUAUUUGUAUGCAUUUUAUUUCAGACAAUGCCGUUUCAUAUUUUAAUAUAUAUACUUACAAAUCUUAAUUUGGAUAAAUAUGCUUGUGUC